UUAACUUGUUUAGUAGCUAGUUGCCCUUUUAUAUAUCUUAGACCAAGCCAUAUUUCAUAUCUCUUCCAUCUGUUCUCCAUAGCUCGCUUACAAGGUGUCCUCCAUUCUUUCAAUUAAUCUUCCUCUCCCUUUUCACCCAUAUCUCUGGGUGAAAUAAUACAAAUCAUUUGUAUUAUUGUUGUUAGAAAAAGUAUUUCAGUAGAAUGCCCAAUGCAUUAAUUCAGUGUCCCUGAUAGCUCUUCAUACACUUUCUUUCCAGAUGACUGCUCCUUUGUUGUUGUGUUGCCCCCUUCAGAAUGGAAGCUCCUUGAGGAUAGGGCCUAUUUAACUUUUCUUUUUGUAUCCCUAGUGAGUAGUACACUUUCUAAUAUAGUGUUAAGUACUUAUUACAUCGUCAUUCAUUAAUUUCAUUAUAAAUGACAAGUCUCAUCUUCAUUUUUGUUGCAAGAACCAAGAGGAAAAAAAAAAAGAAGAUGGAUAAUGUUAACAAUAUUUUAACUAGCAAGUACACAAAAAUAUAGAAUCAGAAAAUAAUUUUAUAUAAAAUUGUAAAAUAUAUUCAGAAUAAAUUAAUGUAUCCAAAGUCGAUAUAUUAAUGAUAAGAACACCAACAGGAAACAACUGGGAAAGAAAAUUAGAGACUUCAACUACAGAAUUUUAGGUUGAUAGAGUUAGGUAUAUAGAGACUGUAUUUUGAUUUCAUUAAUGUAGGAUACUCCAAAAGGAAAAACUUCUCCAAGUCUGGUCAGCACCUUCUCCUAUCAUCUUUAAAAAUUGUAUAGGUUAUGUACAGAGAGGUUAGGAGAUUUACUCAAUGUCCCCAAGCUAUGAUAUGUCUGAGGGAAGAUUUGCAUCCAGAUCUACCUGCAUUUAAGACCAGGUCACAAUCCACCAUCCUGCAUUGUGCCCCUCUAAAGGAGGAUAUUUAUAAAUCCAUGUAUAUAGAAAACUCUUUUUUUUUCUCUCAAUAUGGCACAGUACAUCCAAAAACAUUAUGGAAUAGAUUGACCACCCAAAAACAUUAUGGAAGAAUACCAUGCUAAUAACCCAAACAAAUCUCCUUAGCCAAUAGGUUCUUGUAACAUGUAUAUUUAAUAUCUGCAAAAGGAUAGUAUGUAGGUAUAGGGGAAUGUAGGAACAGAUGGUUAAAUGAAGUAAAAGAAAAAAGUAAAGAGAAUAAAAGGAAUCUUUGAAUGGUGAUUCACCAAGAGACAAAUAAGUCUGUGUGCUAACAAAAAAAAAUCUUUUUUCCUGUCAUUCAUCUUUUAAUAUUGCAAAUAUAAGAAUUGGUCAGCAUUCUUUGAAUUAAUAGUUCAGAAAAAUCACCUGUGAAAUGUUCAAGCUAGGAAAAGUAGAAAUGACUUAAAAGUCAGUUCUCUCCUUGUACUCAAGAGAGUACUUAACACCUUGUAAGGUUGGAAGUUAAUGAUCCUUCAUACAUUUUUAUUCCUUGGACAAAGAUUAGGAGACUAUAGUCCACAGACAUAAGAGAGUCAGAAGAGUUACUGAGAAAGAGUUAUUUCAAAGCCAACGUAACCAUUGCUUUACUAAAAGGACAGAAAGCCAGCUAGACACCUCUCUGAAUCUUUUCUAUACUUUGGGCUAUGCAUCUUCUAAGAGCAUGGCUGGGUAGAAUGGAAGAGCAGAUAGAGUGCCUAUAUAAAAUUUCAAGAGAAGGAAUCCAUCCUUUAUCAUUGACAACAAGAAGAAGAAAAACAAAAUCUCCAAGGACAAUCAGCUUUGUUAUGUAACUCUUCAGGGUUGUAGAAUAGACAUUCACUUGGAAAGUCUGAGACCUCACAGGCUCAGCCAGAUCGCUAACUUCCUUUAUAACUUUAGGCAAAUAUUGUAGUUUAUCUGGGUCUUAGUUCCUUCAUCUGUAAAACAUGGAGAUUAAAUUAGAUAACUCUUUCCAUUCUACUUUUCCAAUUAUAAGAAUUCCUCUUUUUUUUCUAUUUUUAACUGAAUAUCUGGUGGCUUAUUGAUAAAUGAUAUCUACUUUGGGAAACAGGAUUAUACAAUACAUAGGUCUCAGUAUUAAUAAAUUCAUUUAGAAAUGAAGAAACUUCUUUACAGCUUAUUAAUAAGAAUUACAUGAUAUAUAUGUAUAUAUACACACUUAUAUCUGUUUAUAUAUACAUAUUAUGUGAGAUUUUUCUUUUUUUAAUUUCAGUAAAUAUCCAAGAUUCUAUUUCUGAGUGUUCAGUGUUUGUUGUUUCAGUGUGUGGGUUUGUAAAUCUUAAUGGUGAUUAUGCACAUUUGUGAAACCAGGAGAAAAAACACAACACAAUAAAUUGUUUUGAAUGUCAGUGUUAGGCAUGGAACAAAUACAGGAACACAGUUGUUGUCUGGGAAAAGAAAAACUGAAUUAAUUGUUCCAACUCUGUAUGUGGCUCAGUAAAUAAAUCAGAAAACAUGUACUUAAUUGUUCUCAAUUACUGUUUUCUAGGGAAAAUGCUAUAAUUAAAAUAGCAAUAAGAAUUCAGUUUUUUCCUCUUUCCUACAACGGGGUACCAUGAUGUGAUAUUAAAAAAAAAAACAAUUAAUGCUCAUUUUUCAGGUCUAUAGCUAUUUCAUUUGUGU
rnacentral:lncRNA from 1 species